AGCCUAAAGAGACUUAAAUUUUAGGUAACCCCUGCCCAGCGACAUUAAGUCUAGCGGCCGCAGUACCUUGACUGUGCUAAGGUAGCGUAAUAAUUUGUCCUUUAAUUAAGGUCUUGAAUGAACGGGCCUACGAGAAAUGUACUGUCUCCAGUAAAAGUCUGUUGAAGUUACUUAAAAGGUGAAAAUUCCUCUAGUCAAAGAAAAAAGACGAGAAGACCCUUAGAAUUUUGAUGAUGAUUAUUAACACGUAAUAGAUCAGUUUUCGUUGGGGCGACGAGGUAGCAGCUAGACAAUCUACCUAUUAAUGUUUGGUGAGCCGAAUUUUAUUAUGUGUAACUAAAUUACCUAAGGGAUAACAGCAUAAUACUUGAUAGUGUUUGUGACCUCGAUGUUGGACUAGGGACUAAUUGGUUAACCACCAGGAUAGAUGAUUCUGUUCGAAUCCCAUACCCU
rnacentral:rRNA from 1 species